AUUGAAAUACCUGUUCCCAUAAGAUCACUGAAGUUAAGCAAAAUUGAGUCUGGUCAGUACCUAGAUGGGUGACCACCUGGG